rnacentral:rRNA from 1 species
UACGUAGGGGACGAGCGUUGUCCGGAUUUACUGGGCGUAAAGGGAGCGUAGGCGGACUUUUAAGUGAGAUGUGAAAUACCCGGGCUCAACUUGGGUGCUGCAUUUCAAACUGGAAGUCUAGAGUGCAGGAGAGGAGAAUGGAAUUCCUAGUGUAGCGGUGAAAUGCGUAGAGAUUAGGAAGAACACCAGUGGCGAAGGCGAUUCUCUGGACUGUAACUGACGCUGAGGCUCGAAAGCGUGGGGAGCAAACAGGAUUAGAUACCCGUGUA